rnacentral:lncRNA from 12 species
AGGGUAGUUUUCUCUAUAUACUAAACAAUAUUUAUGGAACUGAAAUCUUAUCUUGUGCUUCCAUUUCUCUCUGAAGGGCUUCAGCAAAGGAAAAGGCGUCCAGCCAGAGAAGAAAGCUUUAAUGGAUAAUGAGGCCACUGGCCACAUCAUCUUUCAUAUACUUGGAAGGAUCUCUGAGGGAUGAAGGGAAACCAGGGCCCUCAAAGUACAAGCAAGCCAAGGAGUUGAGGACACAGUGGAAGUGCUGAGACCACCACCAAAUUGCUCAGCUUCUGAGGUUUCCUACCUCUGCUCCUGUUACCUCAGCCCUCCUCACCCAGAGAACAGACUCCUCAAUAAAAGGAGCAACAUGCUCCCGUCAAACAGCAGGAAAGGCAAGACAGAUGCCUGGGGACCAUGCUUAGAACAAUCCAAACAGAAGA